GAUGAACGCUGGCGGCGUGCCUAAUACAUGCAAGUCGAGCGAACGGACGAGGAGCUUGCUCCUCUGAUGUUAGCGGCGGACGGGUGAGUAACACGUGGAUAACCUACCUAUAAGACUGGGAUAACUUCGGGAAACCGGAGCUAAUACCGGAUAAUAUUUUGAACCGCAUGGUUCAAAAGUGAAAGACGGUUUUGCUGUCACUUAUAGAUGGAUCCGCGCCGCAUUAGCUAGUUGGUAAGGUAACGGCUUACCAAGGCAACGAUGCGUAGCCGACCUGAGAGGGUGAUCGGCCACACUGGAACUGAGACACGGUCCAGACUCCUACGGGAGGCAGCAGUAGGGAAUCUUCCGCAAUGGGCGAAAGCCUGACGGAGCAACGCCGCGUGAGUGAUGAAGGUCUUCGGAUCGUAAAACUCUGUUAUUAGGGAAGAACAAAUGUGUAAGUAACUGUGCACGUCUUGACGGUACCUAAUCAGAAAGCCACGGCUAACUACGUG
rnacentral:rRNA from 1 species